rnacentral:rRNA from 1 species
UGGGGAAUCUUGGACAAUGGGGGCAACCCUGAUCCAGCCAUGCCGCGUGAGUGAUGAAGGCCUUAGGGUCGUAAAGCUCUUUCGCCUGUGAAGAUAAUGACGGUAGCAGGUAAAGAAACCCCGGCUAACUCCGUGCCAGCAGCCGCGGUAAUACGGAGGGGGUUAGCGUUGUUCGGAAUUACUGGGCGUAAAGCGCACGUAGGCGGACCAGAAAGUUGGGGGUGAAAUCCCGGGGGCUCAACCCCGGAACUGCCUCCAAAACUAUUGGUCUAGAGUUCGAGAGAGGUGAGUGGAAUUCCAAGUGUAGAGGUGAAAUUCGUAGAUAUUUGGAGGAACACCAGUGGCGAAGGCGGCUCACUGGCUCGAUACUGACGCUGAGGUGCGAAAGUGUGGGGAGCAAACAGGAUUAGAUACCCUGGUAGUCCACACCGUAAAACGAUGAAUGCCAGUCGUCGGGGUAGCAUGCUAUUCGGUGACACA